rnacentral:rRNA from 1 species
UUAGAGUUUGAUCCUGGCUCAGGACGAACGCUGGCGGCGCGCCUAACACAUGCAAGUCGAACGAGCGAGAGAGAGCUUGCUUUCUCAAGCGAGUGGCGAACGGGUGAGUAACGCGUGAGGAACCUGCCUCAAAGAGGGGGACAACAGUUGGAAACGACUGCUAAUACCGCAUAAGCCCACGACCCGGCAUCGGGUAGAGGGAAAAGGAGAAAUCCGCUUUGAGAUGGCCUCGCGUCCGAUUAGCUAGUUGGUGAGGUAACGGCCCACCAAGGCGACGAUCGGUAGCCGGACUGAGAGGUUGAACGGCCACAUUGGGACUGAGACACGGCCCAGACUCCUACGGGAGGCAGCAGUGGGGAAUAUUGCACAAUGGGGGGAACCCUGAUGCAGCGACGCCGCGUGGAGGAAGAAGGUCUUCGGAUUGUAAACUCCUGUUGUUGAGGAAGAUAAUGACGGUACUCAACAAGGAAGUGACGGCUAACUACGUGCCAGCAGCCGCGGUAAAACGUAGGUCACAAGCGUUGUCCGGAAUUACUGGGUGUAAAGGGAGCGCAGGCGGGAAGACAAGUUGGAAGUGAAAUCCAUGGGCUCAACCCAUGAACUGCUUUCAAAACUGUUUUUCUUGAGUAGUGCAGAGGUAGGCGGAAUUCCCGGUGUAGCGGUGGAAUGCGUAGAUAUCGGGAGGAACACCAGUGGCGAAGGCGGCCUACUGGGCACCCAACUGACGCUGAGGCUCGAAAGUGUGGGUAGCAAACAGGAUUAGAUACCCUGGUAGUCCACACCGUAAACGAUGAUUACUAGGUGUUGGAGGAUUGACCCCUUCAGUGCCGCAGUUAACACAAUAAGUAAUCCACCUGGGGAGUACGACCGCAAGGUUGAAACUCAAAGGAAUUGACGGGGGCCCGCACAAGCAGUGGAGUAUGUGGUUUAAUUCGACGCAACGCGAAGAACCUUACCAAGUCUUGACAUCCUGCGACGCACAUAGAAAUAUGUGUUUCCUUCGGGACGCAGAGACAGGUGGUGCAUGGUUGUCGUCAGCUCGUGUCGUGAGAUGUUGGGUUAAGUCCCGCAACGAGCGCAACCCUUAUGGUCAGUUACUACGCAAGAGGACUCUGGCCAGACUGCCGUUGACAAAACGGAGGAAGGUGGGGAUGACGUCAAAUCAUCAUGCCCUUUAUGACUUGGGCUACACACGUACUACAAUGGCGUUAAACAAAGAGAAGCAAGACCGCGAGGUGGAGCAAAACUCAGAAACAACGUCCCAGUUCGGACUGCAGGCUGCAACUCGCCUGCACGAAGUCGGAAUUGCUAGUAAUCGCAGAUCAGCAUGCUGCGGUGAAUACGUUCCCGGGCCUUGCAAUCACCGCCCGUCA